rnacentral:rRNA from 1 species
AAUAUUGCACAAUGGGGGAAACCCUGAUGCAGCGACGCCGCGUGAGCGAAGAAGGCCUUCGGGUCGUAAACCCCUGCCCUAAGGGAGGAACCGUACGGUCCCUUCGGAGGACGCCCCGGCUAACUCCGUGCCACCAGCCGCGGUAAUACGUAGGGGGCGAGCGUUAUCCGGAAUUAUUGGGCGUAAAGGGUGCGUAGGCGGCCUUUUAAGUCAGAUGUGAAAGGCUACGGCUUAACCGUAGUUAGCAUUUGAAACUAAAAGGCUUGAGUGCAGGAGAGGAGAGUGGAAUUCCUAGUGUAGCGGUGAAAUGCGUAGAUAUUAGGAGGAACACCAGUGGCGAAGGCGACUCUCUGGACUGCAACUGACGCUGAGGCACGAAAGCGUGGGGAGCGAACA